rnacentral:rRNA from 1 species
UACAGAGGUCUCAAGCGUUGUUCGGAUUCAUUGGGCGUAAAGGGUGCGUAGGCGGCGCGGUAGGUCGGGUGUGAAAUCUUGGAGCUUAACUCCGAAACUGCAUUCGAUACUGCCGUGCUUGAGGACUGGAGAGGAGACUGGAAUUUACGGUGUAGCGGUGAAAUGCGUAGAUAUCGUAAGGAAGACCAGUGGCGAAGGCGGGUCUCUGGACAGUUCCUGACGCUGAGGCACGAAGGUCAGGGGAGCAAACGGG